rnacentral:rRNA from 1 species
UACGGAGGGUGCAAGCGUUAAUCGGAAUUACUGGGCGUAAAGCGUGCGCAGGCGGUUCUAUAAGACAGAUGUGAAAUCCCCGGGCUCAACCUGGGAACUGCAUUUGUGACUGUAGAGCUGGAGUGCGGCAGAGGGGGAUGGAAUUCCGCGUGUAGCAGUGAAAUGCGUAGAUAUGCGGAGGAACACCGAUGGCGAAGGCAAUCCCCUGGGCCUGCACUGACGCUCAUGCACGAAAGCGUGGGGAGCAAACAGG